UGCCAGCAGCCGCGGUAAUACGGAAGGUGCAAGCGUUAGUCGGAAUUACUGGGCGUAAAGGGCGCGCAGGCGGUUUGAAUAGUUAGAUGUGAAAGCCCACGGCUUAACCGUGGAAGUGCAUUUGAAACUGUCAGACUUGAGUACCAGAGGGGAAAGUGGAAUUCCCGGUGUAGAGGUGAAAUUCGUAGAUAUCGGGAGGAAUACCGGUGGCGAAGGCGACUUUCUGGCUGGAUACUGACGCUGAGGCGCGAAAGCGUGGGGAGCAAACAGGAUUAGAUA
rnacentral:rRNA from 1 species